rnacentral:rRNA from 1 species
CUGGUUGAUCCUGCCAGCAGUCAUAUGCUUGUCUCAAAGAUUAAGCCAUGCAUGCGUCAGCAUAAUGUCUGAGGAAAUGAAUCUGCGAUUGGCUCAUUAAAACAGUGGUAAAUUACUUGGAGAUCCUUUCUACACGGAUAGUCGUAGCAAUUCUAGAACUAAUACGUGUGCCAAUGCCGAACUUCGUGGAUAGGUUUUUCUUAUUAGUUGCAGAAUCGAUACAGGCUCUACCUGGUUUACUUGUGGUUCGUAAUAAGUGGGUGAUUGCAUGGCUACUGGUAAUGACUCAUUCAAGCCUCUGACCUAUCAGCUUGUGAUGGUAGGGUCUUGGCCUACCCUGGCAUUGACGGGUAACGGAUAAUUAGGGUUUGAUUCCGGAGAGGUAGCCUGCAAAAUGGCUACCACAUCUAAGGAGGGCAGCAGGCACGCAUUUUACCCAAUCCUGACACAGAGAGGUAGUGACAAGAAUUAACAAUAUAUGGCAUCCAUGUCUUGUACUUGGAAUGAAUGGAAUCUACAUGCCUUUAUGAGCAUCAAUUGGAGGGCAAGUCUGGU